UCUUUUAUCUUUUAUCUAUUAAAUUAAAUCAUCAUCAAUGACCACUGGGCACUGACACCCCAUGGAGGGCCAUGGUCGCCCGUUGGGGUUUCUAGGCUCUAAAGUUUUGCAAGGUGUGGAGACAGCCACAGGCAUAAGGCAUCAAAAGUUGUAAACGUUACUUAUCUAACAUAAUAAUAUUACUUUCUUGUUUCUUUUUUAAGGAGGUCUUUUGUGCGUUAUGUGUUUUGCUUGCUUGACUACUGUUGCCCAUGUUUUCCUUUCUUUUGCUUGUUUUUCCCAUUCUCAUAUUCCUAGGUCUUUUAAAUCCUGGUUAAUACCAUCAAUCCAUCUCUUUCUAGGCCUACCUCUCGGUCUCUUCCAGUUUAUUAUUUUCUAAGUACUUUGUUGUAUUUCUCUUAUAAUCAUCCUUUCUACGUGUCCCAACCAACUCAGGUGUUUACUUUGUAUUUCUUUUAUGAUAGUCGUUCUGUUUAACACUCGUAUUUAUUUUGUGGUUCAUUCUUAUAUGCCAUUCUCCUGUACAGGUCCAUAUAUUUUUCUUUCUUAUCUAAGAAGUUGUUCUCCUUGUUCACUAGUCAAAGUCCAAGUCUGAUGCAUAUAUUACUACAGGCUAGAUGGUUCAGAUUUUUGAAAUAAAUAAAUGUUUUUUUAUAAUCUUUAUAUAUAACUUGGUUUUAGAGGGGGGCCAUUGUCAGUAGACCUAUUAUAAACAGCGAGACAUUUGACAGAUUUAAAGACAAACCAGGGUCAUUUGAAAAUGUUGCACUGGCUAAUUAAGAGGGAACCUAUAUAGGAUAUAGUAGAUGUAGAAAUCAUUGUAUUUUCCCAACAAUACCUGGAUUUAAAAAUUUCUGAAGUGAGAAUAGAAGAAAUAUGUGUGAAAACUGCUAACUUUCAACAAUUUCAGAAUUGUUUUGUGAGCCAUAAAUAGGAGUAGAUUCCCAACAUCCUUGUUUAAAACAUUAACAGAAUAUAAAGGCCAUAAAAUUUGGAAAAGAACAAAGAAGAGUCCAAAUCAUUGGUUAAUGAUAUGUUUUAUAGGGACUAUAUCAUAUAUUUUAAUGAAAGAAAAAAAUGAGUACUGAACACAAAGCACGAUUGUUACAACCAAAAUCAAGGCAACUUAUAAUUAAUAAAAAGGAAGGUGUGCCACCUAGUGAUCUGGAUGCCUUCAGAAUUGAUCAUAUAUGAUGUCGGUAUUGAAGAAUGCUGGGAACACAAUAUAAAAUUAUUAAAAACAUUUUAUUUGAAUAAAUAAGUAUACUUAUACCAUUUUUAUGUGGAAAUAAAGCACUUUAAAAUUA